GUUAAUGUUUUAUGCGGUGGGGGGGAAGGCGGCGGAGAGGGCGCCGGCAAAGGCGCCCCAACCUCGCUUUCGUGCGGUCCACCGAUUUGAUGCCCUAAGGGCUCGUUGUGCAUUUCUUUGCUCGAUCCCCCUCCUCCCACCCCCCAUCUCGUCAACAACUACGCACCACGACGGUACAGUCAUUUGAUGCGCUGGCGAUGUGUUCCGCCUCCUUAUCAAAGGAGAGAUCAUUGACACGCGCUUUGUGCAGAUUGAGCAGACGGACCUGACCACGGAGGCAAGUGAGGUGUUCAGUGUGGUUAUAUGAAGGUUCCUGAAGAGGAUUGGCAGAAGCUACUCUGGUUUGGAACGCGACCAGGGCUUUGGAUAUAGAGGCAUAGCAGGCCACUUUGCUCAGUACCCAAUUUUAUUGGUAGCCGCAUGACAUCAUUCGUCCUUUUUAAAAACAG
rnacentral:lncRNA from 1 species